GGAGAGUUGUCCGAGCUGGCCGAAGGAGCACGACUGGAAAUCGUGUAUACCCCACAAAGGGUAUCAAGAGUUCAAAUCUCUUACUCUCCGCCA
rnacentral:tRNA from 1 species